GGGCGAAAKYNUGACGGAGCAACGCCGCGUGAGUGAUGAAGGUCUUCGGAUCGUAAAACUCUGUUAUUAGGGAAGAACAUACGUGUAAGUAACUAUGCACGUCUUGACGGUACCUAAUCAGAAAGCCACGGCUAACUCCGUGCCAGCAGCCGCGGUAAUACGGAGGGUGCAARMRWWAAUCGGAAUUACUGGGCGUAAAGCGCACGCAGGCGGUUUGUUNAGUCAGAUGUGAAAUCCCCGGGCUCAACCUGGGAACUGCAUCUGAUACUGGCAAGCUUGAGUCUCGUAGAGGGGGGUAGAAUUCCAGGUGUAGCGGUGAAAUGCGUAGAGAUNNUGGAGGAAUACC
rnacentral:rRNA from 1 species